rnacentral:piRNA from 1 species
UAGUUUUGCCCAAACAUAUUU